UUUGGGUUUUCUAGAAUUAAAACAUCAAUUUAGUCUCUGUAUGGACAUGAUAGUUUAAUUAUAAAAAAAUUAAUUUGGUCUCUAACUUUAGAGAUAGUUCAACAAUUUUGUCGAAGUGAGAAACUUAUAAUGCUCGGGGUUAAAUUGACAAAUGAUGUGUACAUCUUAGGGCUGAAUUAAUGUUUUACUAGUUUUUCCAUUGAUAACUUCGAACCAUGCAGUAACUAUGAACGCUUGUAUGUUAUGUUUUUGGCAGACUAGCUAACAAACAAUGGUUCAGCAACACCAGCAGGGUUAGAGGUUGCGUCACUGUCCCAUGCUUUUGCUCUUUUUUGGCUGCAGUCACAUUUGGUGCCUUUAUUGGUGGCCACAUUACCUUGUUUAGAACCAUUUUGUACUGGAUCGCUCAGUUACUUGGUUCUGUGGUUGCUUGUUUGCUCCUUAAGUUUGCCACUUCACAUAUAUCCCUUCAUUCAGAUUUCAAUAAAAACAAGGUUAUUGUUGAUAGUCAUGAGAAUAAAUCCUCUCUUUUUUUGUUAUCUAGUGAUCAUGUAAAAGAGCACAUCAGAGGAUACACUCCUCGAUCUUUCAUCUACAUGAUCACAUGACAAGAAAGAAUACGAGAGGAUUCAUUCCCAAUCCAUUGCACAUUGUUACAGACUUUAUUCCUACCUUUUUGUUUCCUUUCCUUUUUUGUACUAAAUUUAAGGGCUGGUCUUUGGUAUGUCCUUUGCAGGAAC
rnacentral:lncRNA from 1 species